rnacentral:rRNA from 1 species
GGUACAAUGCGAAGCGAAGCAGUGAUGUGAAGCAAAUCGCACCAAAGCCAGUCCCAGUUCGGAUAAGAGGCUGAAACUCGCCUCUUUGAAGUCGGAAUCGCUAGUAAUCGCAGAUCAGCAUGUUGCGGUGAAUACGUUCCCGGGUCUUGUACACACCGCCCGUCAAACCAUGAGAGUCACCAACACCCGAAGUCCGCCUUGGCGGCCUAAGGUGGGGGAGAUGAUUGGGGUUAAGUCGUAACAAGGUACC